rnacentral:tRNA from 1 species
GGCCCUAUCAUCUAGUGGUUAGGAUAUUGGGUUUUCAUCCCAAAAAUCAGGGUUCGACUCCCUGUAGGGCCG